CAGAGGGUGCAAACGUUGUUCGGAUUUACUGGGCGUAAAGCGCGUGUAGGCGGCUUUGCAAGUCGGAUGUGAAAGCCCACGGCUCAACCGUGGAAGUGCAUCCGAAACUGCAUGGCUUGAGUCUCGGAGAGGAAGGUGGAAUGCUUGGUGUAGAGGUGAAAUUCGUAGAUAUCAAGCAGAACACCUGCGGCGAAGGCGGCCUUCUGGACGAUGACUGACGCUGAGACGCGAAAGCGUGGGGAGCAAACAGGAUUAGAUACCCUGGUAGUCCACGCCGUAAACGAUGAGUGCUAGGUGUCACGGGCUUUGACCCUCGUGGUGCCGUAGCUAACGCAAUAAGCACUCCGCCUGGGGAGUACGGCCGCAAGGCUA
rnacentral:rRNA from 1 species